CGAGAGGGAUAUGAUGUAGUGGCGUGUUAAGAGAUGUGUUUAAAGUCGCAUUUUUUUCGAGUAUGUUGCUACGCACUGGAGAUGAAUAGGGAAAGCCGGUAAAAGGCAAUGUACCUAGUAGUAUUAGAAAUGAAUAUGAGAUUAACGAAGUUAAUUAAAAUUCGGGGUAGGUAAGUGAUUAUGACAAUAUCUGCUGAUGUCUUGACCAAGUCACGUGCCAGCAGUCGCGGUAAUACGUGGAAGAUAAGCGUUAUUCAUCUUUAAUAGGUUUAAAGGGUACCUAGACAGUUAAUUAAGCAAGAAAUUGUACUAAUUAAAACUAGAGUUUAAUGUAGAAAGGGUCAGUACGAUGCGGAGUAGAGAUAAAAUUCUUUGAUACUCAUGGGGACUGGUAAAGGCGAAGGCAACCUUUUAUGUAAAAACUGACGUUAAGGGACGAAGGCUCAAGGAGAAAAAAGAGGAUUAGAUACCCUCGUAUAGUGGGCAGACAAUGAUGAGUGUCAUAUGCAAGAUAAUUUUGUGUAUAAAUGAAAGUGUAAGCACUCCACCUCAAGAGUAACGUGGCAACAUGGGAACUGAAAUCAUUAGGCCGUUUCUGAAACCCGUAGUGAAGUAUGUUGUUUAAUUUGUAGGUACGCAAAUAACCUUACCACAAUUUGUAUAGCUUGUAAUUUUACAUUUGGUUUUAUAUUUAAAAACUUGUAUGCUAUGUUUAUAUAUUAAUUUAUAUAUUAUAUAGUAGAACUUACAAGCUACAAGCGUUGCACGGCUGUUUUUAGUCAAUGUUGUGAAACUUUGGUUAGGUCCAUUAAAUUGAUGUAAGCCCUUACUUUAUUUAUUAAAAAGUAGUUCGCUGCUGUAUGGGUGGCGAUAUAAGGGACAAACAGAUCGCGUACCUCUAAAAGGGAUUAAGUGGUGAAGCCACUCUCUCUCUGCCACAUACUAAAUAAACAGGCGGCG
rnacentral:rRNA from 1 species